UACAGAGGUCUCAAGCGUUGUUCGGAUUCAUUGGGCGUAAAGGGUGCGUAGGUGGCGCCGUAAGUCAGGUGUGAAAUUUCGGAGCUUAACUCCGAAACUGCAUUUGAUACUGCGGUGCUUGAGGACUGGAGAGGAGACUGGAAUUCACGGUGUAGCAGUGAAAUGCGUAGAUAUCAAGUGAAACACCAGUGGCGAAGGCGAGUCCCUGGACAACUCCUGACACUGAGGCACGAAAGCUAGGGGAGCAAACAGG
rnacentral:rRNA from 1 species